rnacentral:rRNA from 1 species
GACGAACGCUGGCGGCGUGCUUAACACAUGCAAGUCGAACGGUGAAGCAGAGCUUGCUCUGUGGAUCAGUGGCGAACGGGUGAGUAACACGUGAGCAACCUGCCCCGGACUCUGGGAUAAGCGCUGGAAACGGCGUCUAAUACCGGAUAUGAGCUGCGAUCGCAUGGUCUGCAGUUGGAAAGAUUUUUCGGUCUGGGAUGGGCUCACGGCCUAUCAGCUUGUUGGUGAGGUAAUGGCUCACCAAGGCGUCGACGGGUAGCCGGCCUGAGAGGGUGACCGGCCACACUGGGACUGAGACACGGCCCAGACUCCUACGGGAGGCAGCAGUGGGGAAUAUUGCACAAUGGGCGGAAGCCUGAUGCAGCAACGCCGCGUGAGGGAUGACGGCCUUCGGGUUGUAAACCUCUUUUAGCAGGGAAGAAGCGAAAGUGACGGUACCUGCAGAAAAAGCGCCGGCUAACUACGUGCCAGCAGCCGCCGUAAUAC